rnacentral:rRNA from 2 species
CGUUGGCCCAAUUGAUUGAUGGUGCUUGCACCUGAUUGAUUUUGGUCGCCAACGAGUGGCGGACGGGUGAGUAACACGUAGGUAACCUGCCCAGAAGCGGGGGACAACAUUUGGAAACAGAUGCUAAUACCGCAUAACAACGUUGUUCGCAUGAACAACGCUUAAAAGAUGGCUUCUCGCUAUCACUUCUGGAUGGACCUGCGGUGCAUUAGCUUGUUGGUGGGGUAAUGGCCUACCAAGGCGAUGAUGCAUAGCCGAGUUGAGAGACUGAUCGGCCACAAUGGGACUGAGACACGGCCCAUACUCCUACGGGAGGCAGCAGUAGGGAAUCUUCCACAAUGGGCGCAAGCCUGAUGGAGCAACACCGCGUGAGUGAAGAAGGGUUUCGGCUCGUAAAGCUCUGUUGUUAAAGAAGAACACGUAUGAGAGUAACUGUUCAUACGUUGACGGUAUUUAACCAGAAAGUCACGGCUAACUACGUGCCAGCAGCCGCGGUAAUACGUAGGUGGCAAGCGUUAUCCGGAUUUAUUGGGCGUAAAGAGAGUGCAGGCGGUUUUCUAAGUCUGAUGUGAAAGCCUUCGGCUUAACCGGAGAAGUGCAUCGGAAACUGGAUAACUUGAGUGCAGAAGAGGGUAGUGGAACUCCAUGUGUAGCGGUGGAAUGCGUAGAUAUAUGGAAGAACACCAGUGGCGAAGGCGGCUACCUGGUCUGCAACUGACGCUGAGACUCGAAAGCAUGGGUAGCGAACAGGAUUAGAUACCCUGGUAGUCCAUGCCGUAAACGAUGAGUGCUAGGUGUUGGAGGGUUUCCGCCCUUCAGUGCCGGAGCUAACGCAUUAAGCACUCCGCCUGGGGAGUACGACCGCAAGGUUGAAACUCAAAGGAAUUGACGGGGGCCCGCACA